rnacentral:rRNA from 1 species
AGAGUUUGAUCCUGGCUCAGCCUGAACGCUGGCGGCGUGGCUAAGACAUGCAAGUCGUACGGGUGUAGCAAUACACCAGUGGCGGACGGGUGAGUAAUGAAUCGCUAACGUACCCCAUAGUUCGGGAUAGCUGCCCGAAAGGGCAGGUAAUACCGACAUGACAUCGCCGGGCGGCAUCGCCUGGCGCUCAAAGGGAAACCGCUGUGGGAGCGGGCGAUUUCGUAUCAGCUUGUUGGUGAGGUAACGGCUCACCAAGGCGACGACGCGUAGCCGGACUGAGAGGUUGGCCGGCCACAUUGGGACUGAGACACUGCCCAGACUCCUACGGGGGGCUGCAGUAACGAAUCUUCCGCAAUGCCCGCAAGGGUGACGGAGCGACGCCGCGUGGAGGACGAAGUCCUUCGGGAUGUAAACUCCUGUCAGGGGCUACCAAGUUCUGAGGGGCCCCAGAGGAAGGCACGGCUAACUCUGUGCCAGCAGCCGCGGUAAGACAGAGGUGCCGAGCGUUAGGCGGAAUCACUGGGCUUAAAGCGUGUGUAGGCGGGCCGUUAAGUGCCCCGUGAAAUCCCCCGGCUCAACCGGGGAACGGCGGGGCAUACUGGCGGCCUUGAGCCACUUAAGGGCAGACGGAACAAGCGGUGGAGCGGUGAAAUGCGUAGAUAUCGCUUGGAACGCCGACGGCGAAAGCAGUCUGCUGGGGGUGUGCUGACGCUGAGACACGAAAGCCAGGGGAGCGAACGGGAUUAGAUACCCCGGUAGUCCUGGCCGUAAACGAUGUCGACUAGGUCGCGGGCGCCUCUGACGGUGCUCGCGGCCGAAGCAAAAGUGCUAAGUCGACCGCCUGGGAAGUACGGUCGCAAGGCUAAAACUCAAAGGAAUUGACGGGGGCUCACACAAGCGGUGGAGCAUGUGGUUUAAUUCGACGCAACGCGAAGAACCUUACCUGGGCUAGAAUGCCUCUGACCGGCGUAGAGAUACGUCUUCCUGGGUAAAACCAGGCAGAGUGCAAGGUGCUGCAUGGCUGUCGUCAGCUCGUGUCGUGAGAUGUUGGGUUAAGUCCCGCAACGAGCGCAACCCUUAUCAAUAGUUGCCAGCGGUUCGGCCGGGCACUCUAUUGAGACUGCCGUUGACAAAACGGAGGAAGGUGGGGAUGACGUCAAGUCCUCAUGGCCUUUAUGUCCAGGGCUACACACGUGCUACAAUGGCAAGUACAAAGCGCUGCAAACCUGCAAGGGGGAGCCAAUCGCAAAGU